AUAAUAACGAUAGGGCGAUCGUGAGGUCGCCCAUUUUGUAUAUGCUUAACGUCUUUGGUUUGGCCGCCGGUCAGUUAAGUAAUAUGCAAAUCUGGCGUUACGCAUAGCUGGCUGUUAGCUCUAUUCCUUACUAUCAAACGACUAACAGUUUUUGUAACCAAAACCCGAGCAUUGCUUGGGUUUUUUUAU
rnacentral:sRNA from 1 species